GGUCACAGCUCCACCCACUAUAGCUAGUAGUUUGAUCCAGCCCAGCUGUCAGAGAACAGGCCCAAGUGUUAGCCCCACAGGUUUUGGGUUGGGGCUCAGUCACUGUGGUAUGUUUUCGGCAGUGGAACCCAGCUCACUGUCCUAGGUCAGCCCAAGUCCACUCCACACUCACAGUGUUUCCACCUUCCUCUGAGGAGCUCCAGGGAAAUAAAGCCACACUGGUGUGCCUGAUUUCCAAUUUCUACCCGAGGGUUGUGACUGUGGCCUGGAAGGCAAAUGGUGCACCUAUCACCCAGGGUGUGAACACUGCAAAUCCCACCCAAGAGGGCAGCAAGUACAUGACACCGGACCAGUGGAGAUCUCACAACAGCUUUACCUGCCAAGUUACACAUGAAGGGGACACUGUGGAGAAGAGUCUGUCUCCAGCAGAAUGUCUCUAGGAACCCAGGUUUCUCCUUGGCCCGGGAACCCUGAAGCUGUAGGGCCCAGAGUGGGGUCUCUUGUCUAUACUAGCUAUCUUAACCCUUCUCUCUUUCCCACUGAAUAUUAAAUAAAAUGUCAUGAGUGAAUCAAAA